AGGCGCGCGAGGGCUGGGCGUUCACGUCGCUUCUCCUCCACCAACAGGCCACGUGGCGCAUUGCGAUUGGACGCGCUCGUAGUGGGUGAGACAAAAACGAGCACCCGGCCAAACCCUAGACCAAUCUUCCCCAAUCCCCGCAUACACUCCUUUUCUUCUCCCUCGCGGCCGCCAGAAGUGGAAUCGGCCUCGACCUCGCGGAUGACCGUCUGCUCACGCAUCACCACGUCGCCGGCGGGCGUCUUCGUCGCCGUGGCGUCACUGCCUCCUCACACGCGGUAGGAGGCCAGGAAGGCGACGCCGUCGAGCGAGCUAAGCAGCCCGACGACGGUGGCCGCGGCCAGCACCAGCGGCGAGGCGCCAUACACCCACGGAGGCAUCCCCAUCCGGCCACGAUGGGAUGGCCGCUGAGAAGCUGCAGUCGGCGGUCAGACGCGGGGACGGCGGCUGCAGCCGCCGGUCAGCGCGGGGACGAUGGACGGACAACCAAGCGCACCUCAGCGACCGUCGGCCGCAUCCCUUGCUACCGCCACCGGAGGGAUGGAGAUGAAGGCGACCUGCCGAGGUACGCCGCCGAUUCGUGCCUAGAUCUCGAUGGGUUGUGCUGGACUGCUGGCCUCCUCUGCCUCUUUGGCGUCACCGAUGACGCCGACCACCGAGGCAGGGGCCUGCCCUCCUCUGCCUCUUCUUUGAAGGGGACCUGCAGCCACCGGAGGGUAUCACGGAUCUGUGAAGAAAGCUUUGGUGCAGUGUUGAGAACACCAGACCAGUGAGGACGCAGAUCGAUGUGGUGAGGACUGAUUGUUGCGGAGCAUCGGCAGUAUGUCUGUAGGUUUACAAAAAUGACAAAUAAAUCUGGACACUUCGUUUGAGGCAAAUGGGCUACAAUUCUUCAGCUAGGAUUAUAUUAGUUGCAGGCGAAAUCUAAAAUUGCUCUUUGGCAGUCAACUCUAUAUGAGUAUCAUGAAUCACUCGAAGAGGUUUCUGUUUUCUUUGUUCUUGUAUGUGUUCAGCUGUGGCUUUUUUGGUUCUUUAUGGUCAAAUAUCUGAUGUUCUAUGUUCAUGGUGGAAGACAGCUCUACUCAUAUACUAGACAGAAUGAGAUUCUUGAGUUACAGGAAGGGAUAUAAAAUUCCGUUGGACCUGCAGAGUCUGUAUUGAGGGUGGCUACAAUUGGGCAUGUGAAGAAACUUUUGUUCAAGCUGCUUGGAAGUAAAUAAAGAAUUUCCAUUAUCCUAAUGUACAUCAUUGAAAGGGAGCUCAUUGAAAUCAUUAUGGUUGAAGGAUGAGGUGGAGCCAACAAGUGCAGCAAUAAAAAUUGUGAGCUAUUAGUCAGAAGGUUGUAGGACAAGGUCCAUUCCUUUGGUUGAGAACAUUUUGCUUCCGAAACAAAGUAGUGCUGAAAUCAAUGCUCGAGUAAAUCUUGAGAUGAAUGCAGUUAGUGUGCUCAUUACAUAGAUCUCUCGAAAGCAUAUCACAAGGUUUCUGCGCUCGCACCUGGGAAUGAGAAAUCUCCAGGGGUGCAUUUCUUCUUUGUUCUGAUAUAUCCAGUCAUUCUGGAUCGAUAGGGCAUAAAAGCACCUAUUACUUCGAAUUAUACGAAUGCUUGAGUAGGUCCACUAAUUUGGUUAUAGGAUCUAAACUACACUAUUCCAUCUUCUGUUCUCUAUGAUUUAAUUCAGGUACAUGGCUAUUAUAAUCUUUCCCUCUUUCACUGCCACUUCCUUCAUUUUGGAGAGUGGCUGUAGAUAAUCACCAUGCUAACUCUCUGAAUGCAGUGCAGAAAAUAUUUAGCUCACAUUCAGUUUCGUUUUAGUCUAACCUGAAAUUAAGUAGCUUACGUUUGUGAAUCUACCAACCCAGUAUAUCUCAAAGCAAGGCAAGUUGACUAUACGUACAUGGUUUAGGUUUUGCAGUAUCUACAUGUGAUCUAAGCAUUGUUUUAUUUGUGUAAUGUUGUUCGGCUACUUAAUUAGGCUUUGUUAUUUCUGCAUCACAUGUGCGUCAUGAACUUCAAUGACAUCACGCACCAUUUUCUGCUUUUUAUUUACGCUGCCCUUGAUCUGAAGAAAAGAAAAAAAGGUACGCAGCAGCAUGGAUUGGAUUUCACUUGCUACCGUUUUCUUUAUUCCCAGAUCAAUUUAACUCAUUGGUAUUCUGAAUUACAGGCUAGGCGCAGUCCAUGCAACUGCUAUGGACAUUUAGAUGGUGUCUCCUGAAUCUGCUGAAUUGUGUAUUAGGAGCGAUAGGGCAGGUCUAUUCGACAACGUGCUAUGUGUAUUUCUUCAGCCAGGAUUAAGGUGCCCUGCUUACUGCGCUUCAUAGUCUCCUAAAAGUCCUUUUUAUCGAUAAAAAUGCAGUCUGGUAUUUUAUAGUCCAAUGACUGCGGAGCUUUGGAUAAAUGGAGCCACAUUUGCAUUGAUUCAGCAGAAAACGGAGCUUUGCAUUCACCCACACUAUCCCUCUAAAGUGUUGGCAUAUAAAUUCCAUGGAAAUAUUAUUGAAUAAUAUUUAGAAAGCAAUACACAUUUGCUAUGCUUAAAUCUGAUAGACAUAUUGUCGGCAGGUGAAGUCAUGUGGUACUUCAAGAAACAAUUCUUUUCCUCUCUUUUGUCCAAAAUUCUAUAUGACCCUCCUGGAUAUUGAAAAAAUGUUGGUCUAGGUAUUUCUUGUAUGCUUCAGCCUUGGAGACGCAAAAUACAUACUUUUUGUGUGUAAACUUUGUUGUUCUCUACAUUAUGGUUUCUAGCUUCUUGGUACAUUCAAUUUUCUGCUGUAGUUAUCACCUUGAAAAGGGAAUAACUUAUCAUGGGAUAUGUCUCAAGUCUCAACCCUUAGUAAAGUGCAGUCACAUGAAUUUCUUAUUCCUUUUUCACGGCUAUUGGAGUAAUUCAAAUAUUCACAUUCAUCUCUAUUCAAUGCUUGAAGUUUUCAGCUUCUGAAUUUACUAUGACAUUAUUAUUUCAGCUUCUGAAUUUUGAAAUACUUGGCAAGUAGCUUAUGUUUUUCCUGAUUUUUUGGCAUCUCUGUCUAUGCUUGCAGUUUGACUAUUUUAGCAUCAACCACUGAAAAUAAUUGACUCACGUUAUCUUCACUAUUUCCCCCUUUGAUUCUAGAUGCUACAUUUAUCUCCAGUGUGUUCUAACAUUUUGAUAACGUUUUCUGUUUCCACUCAUCUGUAAAGAAAAUAAUGUUUGCAUUAUCAUGUUUUGUUGAACCUGUACAGGAUUAGAAUUACCAUAAAGUGACGGAUUACAUGUACAUAGCAUCAAUCAAUUUGUAAAGACAAUUCAUAUAAAUAAGAUUUUCUUAAAUUUGAUCCAGUUCAAUCCGUAAAUAUGUUUCUUUGUGUGAAAUUCCUUUUCCUUGAAUUCAUAACUUAAAUUUUGCUCAUAAUUGAGAGAAUUGGAGAUGGAUGCUAUGAUGGCAAUUGCUACUGUAAGUGUGAUAAGCUGGUGCGCUAUUCUGUCCUAACCCUGCUAUUCUUAUCUAUAUGUAAUUUAUUAUUUUCAUUGGUUUUCUUAUUGCGAAACUGCUCUAAUAUUCCAACAUUUUUUGGUUGGUAAAAGUGGUAGUUAGGCUUGAUUUUGCAAAACUCUAUGUUGGCCAUGAAAUUCUUGAGGACCAAUAAAAUAUGAAAACCAUUAUUUGCUAAAUUUAGUUGUUGAUGUAGUUCUUUUAUGAAAUGGUGCUUACAGGGUUUUAGGCAUGUACUCUAUGUUGGAUGAGCAUGCUCAAGAUAGGUAUCUGAGCUCCAAGAUUUUAUUGGCAAGCCAAAUCGCUGCAUUCAAGAUAGGUUAUGCAUUUACACAGUCAUGUGCUAAAUGCCUUUCCGUCAUUCUGCUAAAGAUAUGCUAGGAAAGUAGGCUGAUAUUAUGGUUAUAGAAUCUUAUGCAUAUUAGAUUCUUUUGUGUAUACCUACACAGUCGGCUUUUAUGGUUUUCUGAACUAUGGACACUGAUUGAUUUAGCUAAUAAGAUGAUUUCUUCAUUUUUCAUCGUUGGAUGCAAGCCAGUUUUAUCCCAUGGGGCUCUCAGCUCAUCGGUUUCUCUCUCCCUACUAAUAUAGGUGCAUCUCCAUAGUCAUAUUUCCCUCCAUCAUUUCCUUUCAUAAAGGUCAAUGUUCACGUUCCUGUCCACAUGUGCCUGCCCACCUCUGUUUCUCUAAUUAAAAACUUGUGUAUUGCUCAUUUGGUGUUGAUGAUUAAGAUUCAUGAGAAAAAAAUAUUCCGUGGAUAUUAUCUUAGUUAGUCCUGAUUACACCUGAGUGUGCAAUUGAGCACUUACAUCAGCUAGGUUGUGGGCAAUUAGAAACUUCUUGCAUUCACUUGCCCUGUAUUUUGUGGGCGACGGCACGCGAGGAGAUUGGUUGGGCGGCAUGAAUGGAGAUACAGGUUAUGGAUUAUUUUAGAUAGUGCUAGGAAUUACUUAGCCAGCUCUACAUUUUAGUGUGCUCCUUCGCUAUGAAUUAGUUACUAUCAUGCACAUGUGUUGAGAGAAGAAGAGCAAAUUAUUUUGUAGAAGGAACAAAAUACACAAUCACAACUACUCUGAAUUUCACUGUCGAUUUGCUCGAUUUGCUCUUUCAGGUGCUCCCAGAGUGGCUCGAUUCUUCUUCACGCGUCGCGAAAGGCUUCAUUGCGCCUUGCCGAAAGGUUGUCCUCUAGAUUGCUGGCCGUAUUGGUACCAGGGACUCCACUCUAUUGAUUGGCUACCGAAAAAAAACAAUUACACUACCCCUGUUGAGUAUCAUUGUCAAUAGAUUGUUGUCGAGGUCGAGUGUGUGCCCUCAAGCACAUGUAGCAAGAAUAACUUGGCCUAAUGGAAGCUAUCAAGAUCCUGCCCAGUGUCAUGCUGGAAGCUAUGUUGCAGAAGCUGCACCUUUUAGCGGUGCAACUACUUAUUAGAAUUAGUUUUUUUUGUGCGUAGUGGCCUUUAAAGACUGAAUUGAGGCGAGCUUAUUUAGAUGUUACUUUUCUUAUUUUUAGUAUAAGAGUGUUAAUAUAUUUCGCUCUUUCCUUGAUUGUGUAUAAGCAUUGUUGUUCUAUUCUGAUUUCGUGUGUUCAAUUUUUAUUGACUUUGUUUGCUAAAUCCUAUAAAACUUAUUUCCAUUUACACGUAGAUCAGUUCGAUUUUCACGGGAUCGUGCGCCAAGGCGCACAUCUAAAUCUAGUCUAAAGAUAUAAUAGGGGCACCCCCACGGAGCCCUCGCAGCGCAUCCUCGUCAAGCACUUCUCGCGCACGGGCUGGGCGUCGCCUUGCUUCUUAUUCCAGCAAUUGGGCCACGUGUCGCUAUUUGAUUGGCUCAGUUGAGGGUAAUAGGAGGCCAACGUGAGACAAAAUCAGCCUCUGAAACCCUACACCCAAUCCCCACAGCCGCCGCCUCCGCUCGUCUCUCCUCCCGCACUCGCGUCCCCUCCUGCACUCGCCCCUCCUCUCUCCCGCUCGAGGCCCCUCGCCUCCGCCCUAUGGAGCUUGUCUCUGGACCCUCGCCUCUGCCGCCAACCUCCUGCGGGAUGCGGGAGGAGGUGGGUGCGAAGGGGAGGAGCAGGUGAUCCUCCAGGAGCGUGUCCCGGAGGAAGGAGGCGGCAAGAGAAGGGCAGGGAUGGGGCGGACCGAGCUCCUCUGCGUGGCGGCAAGAGGAGGGCAUGGACGGGGCGAACCAAGCUCCUCUGCGGCGCUGAGCAGGAGGAGGCGCCGCUGCUCCCCCACUCAUUCUCCUCCGGCGGAACGGCAGCGCCGGCGUCUUCGUCGCCCCUCCAUGACUCCCCAGACCGUCAAGGAGGAUUGGGACGGGACGGGGGAGAAGGCCUAUGUCCUCAGCGAUGAUGAAGAUCGGGAGGAUGCAAAUAUGGCUUCUUCUUCAUCCGGGACAUGCAUCUCUCUCUCUCUAGAUCCCUUCCUGAUGAACCAAUUUGGUGCAGAUGUUUAUAUCAUUGGUCGGGAAAGGAGAUGUGUGUAAAGGUGUUGAUUUUGCACAUAUUUGGCUGUAGCUUUGGCAUGUGAUUGCCCGUGUCCACUUGGGCAGCAGUAUGAGGAGUGAAAUUAUGUCGGUGGUUUGCUGGGUAACAUACUGGAGGAACGAGGCUGAUGCGAGUUGGCAAUGGCGGAGGUUCAAGAGGAGCGCGCCGUCGCAACCUUCAGGAGUAGCGUCAGCCGCUGCUCCACCAGGAGGAGCUCUAUCACAUUGUGUGCUUUCCUAAAUGUUUUUUCUGUCACAUUGUAUGCUUUCCUAAAUGUUUUUUCUGUCAUAACAAACUGCAUGCCUAAUAGCUAGAACCUGGUUGGUUAUAUAUAGUUUCUACACAUCACAUUAGUUCUAUGUCAUAUGGGCACUACAGGUUUGAGUGCUCUUUACCUCAUCACGCAGUACUAAUAAUUAUUACUAUAGUGGAUUUUAUUUUAUUUUUGGUUGUCUCUGUGUGGCAGAUUUGACAAGCCUGGAUAGAUGACCAUGAUUAAGGAAUCUAUAACUUGAUGCGGUUCUCGUGAGGACUGAUCUCUGCCCUGCGGAGGCUGCAGUAUAUGUUCUGAGUGGUUACAGUUUUGAUAGGUGGAGGAGAUGGAGCAGUACCGUCUCACCAUCGCCGGGAGCUGUUUCACCUCGCGCUGGACCCGAGCAAUGGUGAGGAGAGCGGCGCCAGUGGCGGCCGCAGACCUCGCCAUCCCCUGCAGCGACCGACGAUCCGAGUUGGCGAAGACAGUGGAUAGAGGAGAAGAUGCUAACAGGCAGGCAUUGGAUUUUGUCACUGACAGAGCGGCAUGAUCAAUUGUUGUUGCCUAUUUCUCUCUUGGAAGCUGCUACUUUUUUGGUCUUCAAAGGCAUAGGUGUUGUAUUAUGGAAAUUGUUAAUGUGCUCUUUCUUUAAAGGACACACAAAUGAAGCCUAUCCAGUUGCUUGCAAAUAUUUUAGCAUAAUGGAUGUUAUUUAACUCAAUGAGCAUCGGCAGCGAUUAUCGUCAAGCUAUUGUUGAUGGUUCUUAUGUUUUGUAUGGUCGGUUCCCUUGACUUUCCCCUCAUAUAUGUACUUUUUUUUUUGAAAAUUCUCGAAUCUACCAUAGUUAUAUCUGCAUUUCGUACUGGGUACCCUCAGCUAUAAAUUUUUUUGGCCCAUUGUAUGCUGUUUCUAGCUUCUAAAUUGGAGAACCAGAGACAUGGAGUUGUAAGCUAUGUUCACUGAUUUUUUCCCAGUAUCUAGGUCGUAAGUGUUAGAUGUAUAUAUCUAUAUAUUGUAGUUUCCCUAUAUGUUAGGGAGCUUCUUGCAUAUUUGCACUUGUACAUGUACUAU